GCCGCGGUAAUACAGAGGUCUCAAGCGUUGUCGGAAUCACUGGGCGUAAAGGGUACGUAGGCUGCCGGAUAAGUCGUGCGUGAAAGGCAGGGCUCAACCUCUGGAGUGCGCAUGAUACUGUUUGGCUGGAGUGAUGGAGGGGAAACCGGAAUCUUGGUGUAGCAGUGAAAUGCGUAGAUAUCAAGAAGAAGACUCGUGGCGAAGGCGGGUUCUGGACAUUCACUGACGCUGAGGUACGAAGGCUAGGGUAGCGAAAGGGAUUAGAUACCCCGUAGUCCUAGCAGUAAACGGUGCACGCUUGGUGUGAGGGGAAUCGACCCCCUUCGUGCCGAGCUAACGCGUUAAGCGUGCCGCCUGGGGAGUACGGUCGCAAGAUUAAAACUCAAAGAAAUGACGGGGACCCGCACAAGCGGUGGAGUAUGUGGCUUAAUUCGAUGCAACGCGAAGAACCUACCAAGGAUUGACAUCCCGUGACCGCCUAUGAAAGUAGGUUUUCUAUUCGUAGACACGGGACAGGUGCUGCAUGGCCGUCGUCAGCUCGUGUCGUGAGAUGUUUGGUUAAGUCCAGCAAGAGCGCAACCCCUGCUGCCAGUUACCAGCGAGUAAAGUCGGGGACUCUGGCGGGACUGCCAGAUCAACUGGGAGGAAGGUGGGGACGACGUCAGGUCAGUAUGGCCUUUAUACCUUGGGCGCACACGUACUACAAUGCCCAGUACAGAGGGAAGCAAGCAAGCGAUUGCAAGCAGAUCCCAAAAGUGGGCCCAGUUCGGAUUGGAGGCUGCAACUCGCCUCCAUGAAGCCGGAAUCGCUAUAAUGGCGCAUCAGCUACGGCGCCGUGAAUACGUUCCCGGGUCUUGCACACACCGCCCGU
rnacentral:rRNA from 1 species